rnacentral:lncRNA from 1 species
UUCUUGCUCGCGAGACGAAGGAAUUGCGCAACCGGGUCAUCCCGUAUGUUGAAAGUGCAGUGGAGCAAUCACGAGGAGCGGGAGGCGACUUGGGAGCCUGAGACAGUGAUGAGGGAGUCCUACCCCGACCUGUUCGUUGCCCUGUCUUGAGGUAUGUUUUAAGUUUCGAGGACGAAACUUUUUGUAGUGGGGGAGGAUGUAGUAUUCUGGUUUUUUUGAGUUGGUAAGUUGGGUUGCCUUUGGGUUGGAUAAGGAUGCCACGUGUAAUUACCACAUGCAUCCUUAUCAUGUUAUGGUAAAUGAAGGUAUUCAUUUUUUUUAUUAUUUUAUUUAUUCAUUCUGUCUCUCUCUCUAGUUAAGCUGUACGUAGAGGAGGAGCUCGGGUGGUGUGGAGUUUCGCCGACGUCGCGCCGCGGUGCCGUUCGAGCGUGUGUUCGUCGUCGUAGCAUCGCGAGGGGGUCGGGCGAGGGUCCGAUUCCGCCGUUUUCAAUGUCGCACCGGAUUGUGAUUAGCGUUUCAGGUGGGUUUAUCAUCGGAAUCCUAUUCCUAUAGUAUUGUUGGUCGACAUGUAUUGUUAAUAUUACAAGUUGUUAUUGUUUAGCUCAAAUUCAUGAGUAGGUAUGUUUUCGACAUAUAAACUGAAUUGGGAGCAUGUUAUUAGUUGUUAUUAAUCAUACAUGUGGGACUUGGAUAAAACAUAGGAGAAAACCAGCGUUCGGGACCUGGCAUAUGUUGAACUAUCUGAUUUAGCCCUAGGGGCCGUUGUAUUUUUAUACUGUUGCAGUAUCCUCAUAGUGAGUAUCCCCAGGUAGUUCAGAUUUCAGUUACGCUCGUGCUGGGAUGCCGAGCCGAUUUUUACAGUAGUGUUUACAGUGUUCCGGAUUAGUGGGUGCCGUAGUGGUUGACGGCGGACCCGGAUUUGAUCGUUCCGAUAUCAGAUUGUGCCUAGGGCACGUGACUAGGGGUUGGUAGUACUGUUAGACCUGUUUUCUUGACUUUAGCCUGUGAGAGCUUGAUUGAGCUCGACAGAGAUACGCUUGCAUACUCGGUUGGGUCGCGCCUACGAGUGCCGCUCCGGAGUUUGGCUUUGUACU